CGCGCACGCCGACCCCGCACGCCGCCCCACCGCGCGCACCUUGAUAAAAGGGAUAUAUACCUGCUCUCAAGCAUCAAAACCUAAAAGAUGUGGAAAAGCAAAGGAAAAAAUUUGAGGGAAAGUUGUUGACUGACAUUGAGAUUUUCAUGGAGGAGGUUGACAAGUUCAGAUGUCUAACUGUGAGGCUGUGAUAAUUACCAUCGACUGCUUCAGCUGCUACUUGCAAAUACUAUGAAAGUGUACGGACAAGUAUGAAGGCACAUGGUGUACUCUUCAGCUUCUUCUGGCUAUUUAAUUGGCCAAAUCAUUUGAGCAAAGGCCAUUUGCAGUCCUUCCACUUCGUAUUUGUGCAAGACUCUGAGGAUUCCUUAUCGCAUCCAGCAUCCUGUCCAAGAACUGAAUGAACUGGCAGUCUUCAUGAGCAACCUGGGGGUCUGAAAACCUGUUGAGAUGUGGCUCGUGGUCCUGCGCGCACAUUGCAAACAGCUGCUGCUCGGCGCGGCGGCGAUGGUGCCUGCGCGCUUGCCGCCAUCGCUGUCACCGUCGUGUUGGUCUUCCUAUACUGCUUCCUAGAGGUCCAUGUCAUCGGCGACAUCCUCCGCGGUUUUCACGGCGGCCGCGUUGAGCUCCCCUUCCACCCAGCCUCGGAGAUCUACCACCACGUCGCGUCCAAGUGCCGCUCCCUCCACGGCAGGUACCUGGCGACGCCAUCGCUGGCGAGUCCGCAUCUGCAGACAUUGUUCCUCGGCAUCUCUGGGAGGCCUCCAUCAUUCAAGAGGUUAGAUUCAGUGCAAGAGAGUUAACAUUACUCCAGUCUUUUAGAUUUCCGUAUUCAAUCUAGCCAUUUAGACACUCUUUGUAAAAUUGAGUACAACAGACAUUUGGACCCUUUCAAGAGUUUAUUCUGCUCUGUUAUACAUCACCAUGAAAGUACGACACUUUUCCCAGCAAUUUUUUGGAAGAACGAAUUAUAUGGUAUGAAAGUAUUUUUCCCUUAGUAAAAUCAAUCAUGUGUCGUCAAUCUAUGUAGCUUCUUAUAUGUUAUUGAUCAAAGCUUAAAGGUUUGACAAUCAGUAUCGACAAAACGAUUUAUAUCUGCAAUCAGAGGGAAUAAUAUCUAAUUUUGCAAUGAAUUCAUGCUGCUCCUCUUUCACCGUAAAGUGGGCUAUAUGUAUGCAAAUCUCAAUCGGCUUGUAUGCAUGAGCGCUGCAAGAAUAUUUGGGUGUUGUUUGUAGCAUUUUUACAGUUCCGUGAAUGAAUUCCUCAACAUGUCAAGAUUGUUUUGGUGACUCUAUUGGUUAUUAGAGAAACUUAUGGUGUGAUAAUGAACAUGAAUUUUGUAGAAAGGGAAAGAAAAAGAAAGUAAGAAAGCUGAUUAGCAAUUUAUUGCAUUUAUUUUAUUGAAAGUAAUUCUUUGCUUUCUGACAAGGAACACAAUAUAAUACCCACUAAUAUGUUUAUAAAUGAUUUUAUUGAGGGUAACAAAUGAUUAAGCACUUAACACGAUUUUAUUGAAAGUAACAAAUGACUUUCUCUAGAUUAAGCCCUUAACUAAUUUUCUCAGGAUACAUCCUUAUUUGUACAGUUCAGUGAGCCAAAACACUAUUUUUGCUUUCUUAGUUGGCAGUUUACUAAUUACAAUCUCUGCACGGCAGACAGUUGUACACAGUCCGUGAUGGUGGAACCAUUACUCUAGAAGGUAGAGGAUCACAUAUUGUGUGUAAUGUGUGUUGUACAUGGUGUUAUCUGACCUUUUUGGUUAUGUUGCAGAUGCAGACCGUUUCAUUUCUAAAGAUGAUUCAACACCCCUUGUAGUUGUGGUUCCUGUAAAUAUUUUUUUUUACUAGGUUCAUUUUUUUAAAAAUAUAUAUCAUUGCCACAUGUCAACUCAUACUAUAACUAUAUAAUUUUUUAUUUUUUGGAUUUUUGUAAAUAUGUGUGCCGCACAUGGGCAUCUGCUAGUAGUGAUAAAGCUUCUAAAAAGCUAACAGUAGGCUCCGGCUACUUAAAACGAUGAGAUGUUUUGUUA